rnacentral:rRNA from 1 species
AGGUAGUAAAUAAUUUUUAAAACCUAUUUAUAUCGGCGGCAUUUCAUCUUACUAGAGGAAUCUGUUUAAUAAUUGAUAAUCCACAUUAAAUUUCACUUUAAAUAAAAACUUAUAUACCGCCAUCUAAAGAGUUAAAUUAAUUAAUUUACUCACAAUAAAUAAUAAAAAGUUAGGUCAAGGUGUAGUAAAUAUUAAAGUUCUUAAUGGAUUACUUUAAAUGCAUUUAUGGAUAUAUUUAAAUAAUUUUUUAUUAAAAUAGGAUUUAGAAGUAAUAAAAUAAUAAUAUUAGUUUAUAAAUAAGAUAAUAAAUGUGC